AACGAACGCUGGCGGCAUGCCUAACACAUGCAAGUCGAACGAGACCUUCGGGUCUAGUGGCGCACGGGUGCGUAACGCGUGGGAACCUGCCCUUAGGUUCGGAAUAACUCCCCGAAAGGGGUGCUAAUACCGGAUAAUGUCUUCGGACCAAAGAUUUAUCGCCUUUGGAUGGGCCCGCGUUGGAUUAGCUAGUUGGUAGGGUAAAAGCCUACCAAGGCGACGAUCCAUAGCUGGUCUGAGAGGAUGAUCAGCCACACUGGGACUGAGACACGGCCCAGACUCCUACGGGAGGCAGCAGUGGGGAAUAUUGGACAAUGGGCGAAAGCCUGAUCCAGCAAUGCCGCGUGAGUGAUGAAGGCCUUAGGGUUGUAAAGCUCUUUUAACCGGGAUGAUAAUGACAGUACCGGGAGAAUAAGCUCCGGCUAACUCCUUG
rnacentral:rRNA from 1 species